rfam:Hordeum vulgare subsp. vulgare, WGS project CAJW01000000 data, contig: morex_contig_63905
CAUAUACUCCCUCCGUCCUAAAAUAAAUGACUCAAAAGUGACUCUACUUUGUAUUAAAAUUAGUACAAAACUUAAUCAUUUUCGAGUCACUUAUUUUGGGACGGAGGAAGUACAUU